rnacentral:rRNA from 1 species
CACGUAGGGCGCGAGCGUUGUCCGGAAUUAUUGGGCGUAAAGAGCUCGUAGGCGGCCUGUUGCGUCCGCUGUGAAAGCCCGGGGCUUAACCCCGGGUCGGCAGUGGAUACGGGCAGGCUAGAGGUAGGUAGGGGAGAAUGGAAUUCCCGGUGUAGCGGUGAAAUGCGCAGAUAUCGGGAGGAACACCGGUGGCGAAGGCGGCUUGCUGGACCUGGUCUGACGCUGAGGCGCGAAAGCGUGGGGAGCGAACAGG